GCCGGGGUGGCCGAGCCCGGACCAAGGCGCCGGCCUUGAGAGCCGGUGGGCUCACGCCCGCCUGGGUUCAAAUCCCAGCCCCGGCGCCA
rnacentral:tRNA from 1 species